rnacentral:rRNA from 1 species
UACAGAGGUCUCAAGCGUUGUUCGGAUUCAUUGGGCGUAAAGGGUGCGUAGGCGGCGCGGUAAGUCGGGUGUGAAAUCUCGGAGCUUAACUCCGAAACUGCAUUCGAUACUGCCGUGCUUGAGGACUGGAGAGGAGACUGGAAUUUACGGUGUAGCGGUGAAAUGCGCAGAUAUCAGGAGGAACACCAAUGGCGAAGGCAGAUCUCUGGGCCGUAACUGACGCUGAGGAGCGAAAGCAUGGGGAGCGAACAGG